CAGCAGCCAUUUUAGUGGCAUUUGCCGUACGAAAAAUAUAUAGAGUCUGACAUCCCCUCCCCACGAGCACCGGGUGGCCACCGGCUGCAGAGGCCCGGAGGAGGUGAGGGUGGACGCGGCCCGGCAGAGCCGGGCACCUGCCGCAGGUGCCCCGGGGUCGCGGCUCCUGGCGGGCGGGCGGGCGGGGUGGCGGGGCUCCCCCGCGGGCGGGCGCCGCAGUGCAGCGCGGGCCUCGCGCCUGGCCCGCCCCUCGGUCCCCGCCCCGCAGGCCGCGGGAGCCCGCCGGGAGGCGCGCGGGAGGUGGCCGCGGCCCGGGGCCACCGCGCGCCGCUGCCCAACAUGGUCGCUGCGCACGCUGCACACUCUCCGUCCUCGGCCGAGUGGAUCGCCUGCCUGGAUAAAAGGCCGCUGGAACGCUCUAGUGAAGAUGUGGACAUAAUCUUCACACGACUGAAAGAAGUGAAAGCUUUUGAGAAAUUUCACCCAAACCUCCUUCAUCAGAUGUGUCUAUGCGGCUAUUAUGAGAACCUGGAAAAAGGGAUAACAUUAUUUCGUCAAGGAGACAUUGGAACCAACUGGUAUGCUGUGCUAGCCGGGUCUUUGGAUGUGAAAGUUUCUGAGACCAGCAGUCACCAGGACGCGGUGACCAUCUGCACCCUGGGAAUUGGGACAGCCUUUGGAGAGUCCAUACUGGACAACACACCCCGCCAUGCAACCAUUGUUACCAGAGAGAGCAGUGAGCUCCUCCGCAUUGAGCAGGAAGACUUCAAGGCACUAUGGGAGAAAUACCGACAGUAUAUGGCCGGACUUCUGGCUCCUCCUUAUGGUGUUAUGGAAACGGGCUCUAACAAUGACAGGAUUCCUGACAAGGAGAAUACACCUCUCAUUGAACCUCACGUUCCUCUCCGUCCUGCUAACACCAUUACCAAGGUCCCUUCAGAGAAGAUCCUCAGAGCUGGAAAGAUUUUGCGGAUUGCCAUUCUCUCUCGAGCUCCCCACAUGAUAAGAGACAGAAAAUACCACCUGAAGACGUACAGACAAUGCUGUGUUGGGACCGAGCUUGUAGACUGGAUGAUACAGCAAACGUCCUGUGUUCACUCCCGGACUCAAGCUGUUGGCAUGUGGCAAGUCUUGCUGGAAGACGGUGUCCUCAACCAUGUGGACCAGGAACGCCAUUUCCAAGACAAAUAUUUAUUUUAUCGAUUUCUGGAUGACGAGCAUGAGGAUGGCCCUUUGCCUACUGAGGAAGAGAAGAAGGAGUGUGAUGAGGAACUCCAGGAUACCAUGCUGCUGCUGUCACAGAUGGGCCCUGAUGCCCACAUGAGGAUGAUCCUGCGCAAACCACCUGGCCAGAGAACUGUGGAUGACCUAGAAAUGAUCUAUGAUGAACUCCUUCAUAUCAAAGCCUUAUCCUAUCUUUCUACCACGGUGAAACGGGAGUUAGCGGGUGUUCUCAUUUUUGAGUCUCAUGCCAAAGGAGGAACUGUGUUGUUUAACCAGGGGGAAGAAGGUACCUCCUGGUACAUUAUUCUAAAAGGAUCAGUGAAUGUAGUCAUUUAUGGCAAGGGUGUGGUUUGCACCCUGCAUGAGGGAGAUGACUUUGGCAAGUUAGCCCUCGUGAAUGAUGCCCCACGAGCUGCUUCCAUUGUUCUUCGAGAAGAUAACUGUCACUUCUUAAGAGUCGACAAGGAAGAUUUCAACCGGAUUUUGAGGGACGUUGAGGCGAAUACAGUCAGACUUAAAGAACAUGACCAAGAUGUCUUGGUGCUGGAGAAGGUCCCAGCGGGGAGCAGAGCUUCCAAUCAAGGAAACUCACAGCCUCAGCAAAAGUAUACUGUGAUGUCAGGGAACACCUGAAAAAAUCUUAGAGCAUUUUUUAGAAACAAUACGCCUCGAGCCAUCUUUGAAUGAAGCAACAGAUUCGGUUUUAAAUGACUUUGUUAUGAUGCACUGUGUUUUUAUGCCAAACACCCAGCUUUGCCCUGCCCUGGUGGCCCAUUACCACGCACAGCCUUCUCAAGGUACAGAACAGGAAAGAAUGGACUAUGCCCUCAACAACAAGAGGCGGGUCAUCCGCUUGGUUCUGCAGUGGGCUGCCAUGUAUGGGGACCUCCUCCAAGAAGAUGAUGUGGCCAUGGCUUUCCUGGAGGAAUUCUAUGUGUCUGUAUCAGAUGACGCUCGGAUGAUGUCUGCCUUCAAGGAGCAGCUGCCAGAGCUGGAGAAGAUUGUCAAACAAAUCUCAGAAGAUGCAAAAGCCCCACAGAAGAAGCACAAGGUGCUUUUGCAGCAGUUCAACACAGGGGACGAGAGGGCCCAGAAGCGCCAGCCUAUUCGUGGUUCUGAUGAGGUUUUGUUUAAGGUCUACUGCGUGGACCAUACCUACACCACCAUUCGGGUGCCCGUAGCUGCCUCAGUGAAGGAAGUCAUCAGUGCAGUGGCUGACAAACUCGGCUCUGGGGAAGGCCUGCUCAUAGUCAAGAUGAAUUCUGGAGGAGAAAAGGUGGUGCUCAAACCUAAUGAUGUUUCAGUAUUUACGACACUCACCAUUAAUGGACGCCUGUUUGCCUGCCCGCGAGAGCAAUUCGACUCACUGACUCCCUUGCCAGAACAAGAAGGCCCAACCACUGGGACAGUGGGAACUUUUGAGCUGAUGAGCUCGAAAGACUUGGCGUACCAGAUGACAACAUAUGAUUGGGAACUCUUCAACUGUGUGCAUGAGCUGGAGCUAAUCUACCACACAUUUGGAAGGCAUAAUUUUAAAAAGACCACAGCAAACUUGGAUUUGUUCCUGAGGAGAUUUAAUGAAAUUCAGUUUUGGGUUGUUACUGAGAUCUGCCUUUGUUCCCAGCUCAGCAAGCGGGUACAGCUUUUGAAAAAGUUUAUCAAGAUAGCGGCUCACUGCAAAGAGUACAAGAAUCUAAAUUCCUUCUUUGCCAUCGUCAUGGGUCUUAGUAAUGUCGCUGUGAGCCGCCUGGCACUAACGUGGGAGAAACUGCCAAGCAAGUUUAAGAAGUUCUACGCAGAGUUUGAGAGCUUAAUGGAUCCUUCCAGAAACCACAGGGCCUACAGGCUGACGGCAGCUAAACUGGAUCCCCCCCUCAUCCCUUUCAUGCCCUUGCUUAUUAAAGAUAUGACAUUUACUCAUGAGGGGAACAAGACGUUCAUUGACAAUCUAGUAAACUUUGAAAAAAUGCGCAUGAUUGCAAAUACUGCCAGAGCAGUGCGGUAUUACAGGAGCCAGCCCUUCAAUCCUGAUGCCGCUCAAGCUAAUAAAAACCAUCAGGAUGUCCGGAGUUAUGUGCGGCAACUAAAUGUGAUUGACAACCAGAGGACUUUAUCGCAGAUGUCACACCGAUUAGAGCCUCGCAGGCCAUAGACACGGCAAGUGCCCAGAAUGUUGUUUGUUCUCCAGUCCACAAUCUUUCAAAAAUGCCCUGUAUGCUACUACUGACUGUGUUGCCACUUAAGAAGUCUCCAGAAUGAGCAGAGACACAUUCUGAGACUCCCCCUUCAGGGCCACAUCCAGCUUUCCAACCACACAGUGCAAGAAGGAUUUGACUUGUGUAACGCUGACAUGCCGUAGCUUAGGAAUCCUCAGUUAUAGUCACCCUCGUUCAUUCCCAGCCAUGCCAUCGUCGGGCUCACAUGAAGAAAUAACAUUGGCAAGGGCUACAUCAAGCCCCUGACAUCCCUUUCCAGGCUGUUUGCAGUGUGAAACUGGGCCAUGGGUGGGUUUGACUUAGAUACAUUGGUGAUGAUAUAAUUGAAUGAUUUUUUUUAAACUUAGCACCUUGACUUGGGGCAUGGGGUCUGGGGAGGGCAUUGAGGAAACCACAAAAGUCCAAAUUAUAGGUCAUAUUCUUUUAUCUUCAGAAUCUUACCUCUGAAGGAAUAGAACCUCACCACAAUGCUAUGAAAUAUUAUGGCUAUUUGGUCUGUGAUUUAUGAAUGAUCUAUAAAAUAAUAUGUUUACACUGUAACUUUAAAAAAUUUACAAAUCAGGAUAACAUAUGUAAGAAUUCCACUAAGAAACACUAAGGUUCUUAAUAUUGCCAGCGUUAAGAUAGAAAAUAACAUUUCAGAAGAGCACAAUAUGCACAAAACAUUUUUCAAAAUUGAAAUAUUUUCCUGGGCAUUAAAAAAAACCUUUCCUCUACAAAUUUAUUGUUACUGAUGAAAUAAAAAACAUAUUUUCUGGACUUAAAUGUUAUUACAAAAUUCUUAAUUUUCAGCAAUUGUUUUGCACUUUCAGAUAGAUUGUAAAUAGGUCAUGUGAUCAAUGGUAUAGAGUUAUUUAUUUGCUACAUAAUAGACAUUGUGCCAAAUAAUUCCUUUUUAUUUAUUUUAUUCAGUAUGAAAUUUUGGAGUACAUUUUUUUUUCUGUUUUCACAAUUAGACUACAUUGAAUGUGCAGGAAUUGUAUGUACAUAUCUCUUCUGUAAAUAACAGUCAGUAUCUUCAUUAAAUAUACUUGACAAGAAAUA